GCCUGGGUGGCUCAGUGGUUGAGCGACCGACUUCAACUCAGGUCAUGAUCUCACAGCUUGUGAGUUCGAGCCCCACGUCGGGCU
rnacentral:tRNA from 1 species